rnacentral:tRNA from 1 species
GGAUAGCACAGUUGGUAGAGAAUGAGACUCUUAAUCUCAGGGACAUGGGUUCGAGCCCCACGUUGGGCA